GACGAACCGUGCAAACGUUGUUCGGAAUCACUGGGCUUAAAGGGCGCGUAGGCGGAGUGUCUCGUCCGGGGUGAAAGCAUUCGGCUUAACCGGAUAAUGGCCUUGGAAACGGACACUCUUGAGGGGGGUAGGGGCAUGCGGAACUUCCGGUGGAGCGGUGAAAUGCGUUGAUAUCGGAAGGAACGCCGGUGGCGAAAGCGGCGUGCUGGACCCCUUCUGACGCUGAGGCGCGAAAGCCAGGGGAGCAAACGGG
rnacentral:rRNA from 1 species